CAGGGGGGCAAAUAGGUUUUAUGUCAGGGAGGCAUCCAUCACUAUUUAUUAUGUUUAUGGACUCAUUUUCUACUUGAGACUCAAGGUGGAUUACAUGGUAUAAAGCAAUGUAAUCAAAUAGCAUGACAGA